rnacentral:misc_RNA from 1 species
GAUGGGAUCUUCCGAGACGGUGGAGACCAGUUGUUGCUCGCGCUCUCCAAACCCAGCCAAGGUUACACAGCAACGUUCGAUAUUGGGCUUCAGACAGCUUGAGCCGCACCGUGUAUCCCUGCUAGGAAUUUGCAAAAAAAGUUAACACACAGUUAAUGCACACCUGUGCAAAACUAAAAAUAACAGUUAUGCACACGUGUGCAAAAAGAGAGCCAAAGAAUUAUUUAAUAAAUCAACAUCGCAAAAGUAGGAACAUAUGUCUCAAACUCUAAAUUCCAUCGUUCAAGAUCAAAACAAUCCCCUACAUUCAUUAGAAGAAUGGGAAGAAGACUUGCUCAAUCGCUAUCCCGAUCCAAAUAGCAUCCUUAAAGAAGGUAAAACCAUUGAGGUGUACAGAAAUUACGAAACGCCUACCAGAGACACAGUCAAGGAAUUCUAUCGCUUAAAUC